GCCCCCGUAGUCCAACCGGCAGAGACACGGCGCUUAAACCGCUGACAGUGUGGGUUCGAACCCCACCGGGGGUA
rnacentral:tRNA from 1 species